rnacentral:rRNA from 1 species
GAUGAACGCUGGCGGCGUGCCUAAUACAUGCAAGUCGAGCGAACAGACGAGGAGCUUGCUCCUCUGACGUUAGCGGCGGACGGGUGAGUAACACGUGGAUAACCUACCUAUAAGACUGGGAUAACUUCGGGAAACCGGAGCUAAUACCGGAUAAUAUAUUGAACCGCAUGGUUCAAUAGUGAAAGACGGUUUUGCUGUCACUUAUAGAUGGAUCCGCGCCGCAUUAGCUAGUUGGUAAGGUAACGGCUUAUCAAGGCAACGAUGCGUAGCCGACCUGAGAGGGUGAUCGGCCACACUGGAACUGAGACACGGUCCAGACUCCUACGAGAGGCAGCAGUAGGGAAUCUUCCGCAAUGGGCGAAAGCCUGACGGAGCAACGCCGCGUGAGUGAUGAAGGUCUUCGGAUCGUAAAACUCUGUUAUUAGGGAAGAACAAAUGUGUAAGUAACUAUGCACGUCUUGACGGUACCUAAUCAGAAAGCCACGGCUAACUACGUG